rnacentral:tRNA from 1 species
UCCGGGGUGGCGCAAUCGGCAGCGCGGGUGCCUGUUAAGCACUAGGUUCUGGGUUCGAGUCCCAGCCCCGGAG